rnacentral:rRNA from 1 species
UAAGUUAGAAAGGGCGCACGGUGGAUGCCUUGACACUAGGAGUCGAUGAAGGACGGGACUAACGCCGAUAUGCUUCGGGGAGCUGUAAGUAAGCUUUGAUCCGAAGAUUUCCGAAUGGGGAAACCCACCAUACGUAAUGGUAUGGUAUCCUUAUCUGAAUACAUAGGGUAAGGAAGACAGACCCAGGGAACUGAAACAUCUAAGUACCUGGAGGAAGAGAAAGCAAAUGCGAUUUCCUGAGUAGCGGCGAGCGAAACGGAACAUAGCCCAAACCAAGAGGCUUGCCUCUUGGGGUUGUAGGACAUUCUAUACGGAGUUACAAAGGAACGAGGUAGACGAAGCGACCUGGAAAGGUCCGUCGUAGAGGGUAACAACCCCGUAGUCGAAACUUCGUUCUCUCUUGAAUGUAUCCUGAGUACGGCGGAACACGUGAAAUUCCGUCGGAAUCUGGGAGGACCAUCUCCCAAGGCUAAAUACUCCCUAGUGAUCGAUAGUGAACCAGUACCGUGAGGGAAAGGUGAAAAGCACCCCGGAAGGGGAGUGAAAGAGAUCCUGAAACCGUGUGCCUACAAAUAGUCAGAGCCCGUUAACGGGUGAUGGCGUGCCUUUUGUAGAAUGAACCGGCGAGUUACGAUCCCGUGCGAGGUUAAGCUGAAGAGGCGGAGCCGCAGCGAAAGCGAGUCUGAAUAGGGCGUUUAGUACGUGGUCGUAGACCCGAAACCAGGUGAUCUACCCAUGUCCAGGGUGAAGUUCAGGUAACACUGAAUGGAGGCCCGAACCCACGCACGUUGAAAAGUGCGGGGAUGAGGUGUGGGUAGCGGAGAAAUUCCAAUCGAACCUGGAGAUAGCUGGUUCUCCCCGAAAUAGCUUUAGGGCUAGCCUUAAGUGUAAGAGUCUUGGAGGUAGAGCACUGAUUGGACUAGGGGUCCUCAUCGGAUUACCGAAUUCAGUCAAACUCCGAAUGCCAAUGACUUAUCCUUAGGAGUCAGACUGCGAGUGAUAAGAUCCGUAGUCAAAAGGGAACAGCCCAGACCGCCAGCUAAGGUCCCAAAGUGUGUAUUAAGUGGAAAAGGAUGUGGAGUUGCUUAGACAACUAGGAUGUUGGCUUAGAAGCAGCCACCAUUUAAAGAGUGCGUAAUAGCCCACUAGUCGAGUGACUCUGCGCCGAAAAUGUACCGGGGCUAAAUACACCACCGAAGCUGCGGAUUGAUACCAAUGGUAUCAGUGGUAGGGGAGCGUUCUAAGGACAGUGAAGUCAGACCGGAAGGACUGGUGGAGUGCUUAGAAGUGAGAAUGCCGGUAUGAGUAGCGAAAGACGGGUGAGAAUCCCGUCCACCGAAUGCCUAAGGUUUCCUGAGGAAGGCUCGUCCGCUCAGGGUUAGUCAGGACCUAAGCCGAGGCCGACAGGCGUAGGCGAUGGACAACAGGUUGAUAUUCCUGUACCACCUCUUUAUCGUUUGAGCAAUGGAGGGACGCAGAAGGAUAGAAGAAGCGUGCGAUUGGUUGUGCACGUCCAAGCAGUUAGGCUGAUAAGUAGGCAAAUCCGCUUAUCGUGAAGGCUGAGCUGUGAUGGGGAAGCUCCUUAUGGAGCGAAGUCUUUGAUUCCCCGCUGCCAAGAAAAGCUUCUAGCGAGAUAAAAGGUGCCUGUACCGCAAACCGACACAGGUAGGCGAGGAGAGAAUCCUAAGGUGUGCGAGAGAACUCUGGUUAAGGAACUCGGCAAAAUGACCCCGUAACUUCGGGAGAAGGGGUGCUUUCUUAACGGAAAGCCGCAGUGAAUAGGCCCAAGCGACUGUUUAGCAAAAACACAGCUCUCUGCGAAGCCGUAAGGCGAAGUAUAGGGGGUGACACCUGCGCCCGGUGCUGGAAGGUUAAGGAGAGGGGUUAGCGUAAGCGAAGCUCUGAACUGAAGCCCCAGUAAACGGCGGCCGUAACUAUAACGGUCCUAAGGUAGCGAAAUUCCUUGUCGGGUAAGUUCCGACCCGCACGAAAGGUGUAACGAUUUGGGCACUGUCUCAACCAGAGACUCGGUGAAAUUAUAGUACCUGUGAAGAUGCAGGUUACCCGCGACAGGACGGAAAGACCCCGUGGAGCUUUACUGUAGCCUGAUAUUGAAUUUUGGUACAGUUUGUACAGGAUAGGCGGGAGCCUUUGAAACCGGAGCGCUAGCUUCGGUGGAGGCGCUGGUGGGAUACCGCCCUGACUGUAUUGAAAUUCUAACCUACGGGUCUUAUCGACCCGGGAGACAGUGUCAGGUGGGCAGUUUGACUGGGGCGGUCGCCUCCUAAAGUGUAACGGAGGCGCCCAAAGGUUCCCUCAGAAUGGUUGGAAAUCAUUCGUAGAGUGCAAAGGCAUAAGGGAGCUUGACUGCGAGACCUACAAGGCGAGCAGGGACGAAAGUCGGGCUUAGUGAUCCGGUGGUUCCGCAUGGAAGGGCCAUCGCUCAACGGAUAGAAGCUACCCCGGGGAUAACAGGCUUAUCUCCCCCAAGAGUCCACAUCGACGGGGAGGUUUGGCACCUCGAUGUCGGCUCAUCGCAUCCUGGGGCUGUAGUCGGUCCCAAGGGUUGGGCUGUUCGCCCAUUAAAGCGGUACGCGAGCUGGGUUCAGAACGUCGUGAGACAGUUCGGUCCCUAUCCGUCGUGGGCGUAGGAAAUUUGAGAGGAGCUGUCCUUAGUACGAGAGGACCGGGAUGGACGCACCGCUGGUGUACCAGUUGUUCUGCCAAGGGCAUAGCUGGGUAGCUAUGAGCGGAAGGGAUAAGUGCUGAAAGCAUCUAAGCAUGAAGCCCCCCUCAAGAUGAGAUUUCCCAUAGCGUAAGCUAGUAAGAUCCCUGAAAGAUGAUCAGGUUGAUAGGUUCGAGGUGGAAGCAUGGUGACAUGUGGAGCUGACGAAUACUAAUAGAUCGAGGACUUAACCA